CAGGAAAACUUUUAUUCUGCCGCGAAGGCCCGACGGCCGGCGAGGUCCGCCUGCGGGGACAGAAGGGGGACGCCGCUUCCUCGGUGCUGCGCAGGGGCCGCGCGAGCCCGGGCAGGUCGCCCCCCUGGGGACCGCGCCCCGGAACCGCAGCGGAUCCCUAGGCCCGCCCCGGCCAGGCGCAGACUGUGGCCGUGGGCCACGGCUUGGAUCGGGUGGGAGGGUCAGGACCGGCCUCCACCUUCCCGGGCAGGGCCGUCCCUGAGGGCCAGCAGCUGGCCAGUGGAGUGUACUAGAAGAGCGAUUCCUGGGAAUGCGGCUCGCACCCUCCUGGCCCACUGGGCCCCUCGCUAGCAGACGGCUUGACUUACCUCGUGGACUCCGUUUCCAGGCCCCCUGCUCCCGCACAGUGGGUGGUGGAACCGGAGGCUGACAGCACCCUUCAGCAGCCUCGGAAGAGCUGGCAAGAGCCGCGUGUGGGGCUUACAGCUCAGAGUGAGCGUGUCUCACGGACCCAACAGAGUGGUACUGGCCUCCUUUCUGGUUAGACCUCGUGGCUGGGAGCGAGGGCUGGUGCACAAUAAUAGUGACUGCACUGUAAAACGCUCCUUUGGGGGCCAACUGCUGAUUUUCCGUCUUCCAUCCAGCUCCCUCUGCCCCCCUCUGCCAGGCUCUGUGUCCAGGAGGCAGAUGGCCCCCACGAGUGGCUCCACCUGCAGAGGCAACAGCAGUAGACUGAGGACAGAAGGCAAGGCCGGGGUCCUUCUCCCCAGUCCCUGCUGGCCUUGCCCUGGCCUGGCAGUCAGGAAGUCCAGCUCAGCUGUGAACCGGUUCACCCUUGCUGGGCCACAGACCUCCACAACAUAGCCACUGAGACCACAGUUGUCCUCUCUGCAGAUCUGGAUGGGCGUCCUGGUCUUCUGCUCCCUGAGGUUGGGGCAUUGAGAGUGCUGCUGCAUCCAGAGGACUUUCUCAGCAGGGGCGUACGGCUAUGAGCCAUGCUGAAACUGCUAACGUGGGCUCUCAGAGGUGGAUUGGACGCAUUUUGCACUGUGAGAUGGACUUGAGUCCUUGGGGGACAGGACAGGAUAUUUGGAUCUUAAGUGUUCGCCGAAAGCCCACAUAUGGAAGAGCUGGUCCCCAGCUGCUGGUGCUGCUAGAGCUGGCGGACCUUAGGAGGUGAGGUCAUCGGAGACGUGCCCUCAGGGGGCUCUGGGGACCCCGGCCCUUCCUGCCUCUCCUUGCCUACCAGCUGUGCCGCCAGCUCCGCCCCCACCACACAUUCCCCACUCUGAUGUUCUGCCUGGGGGUCAGGCCCAACGGCACCAGGGCCAGGCCACUGUGGACAAAGCCUCUGAAACCGUGCGCCAAAGUAGACCUGUCCUCAUUCAAGUUGGUCAUCCCGGUUAUUGUGUCACACGUUCUCACACGCCCUUUCAAUGAGCUCACUAAGUAAAGCUUAGCUAUUUGUUCAGACCAACAUUUCUAAACCCUGGCUGUAGAUUAAAGCUACUUAAGGACAGUAAGGGUGUGUGCCUCCCCAGGCGUUUGGUUCAAUUGCUGUGGAGUGGGACCCGAACACAGGACUUUUAGAAGCUCUCAGGUGCAGCAGGAUUGAGACUGUGAGUCUGGGUGUGUGUCUGCCUCCCAGUGGGAGAGAACUUGCCAAGGAUGACCACAGCUGAUCCUCACUCCCGGGGCACCGCAUGGCGCCUUGUGCACUGACCUGCCCAGCACAUGGUGAAGAGUCAGGUGGGCCAGGACCUCUCGUGGAACAGGUCAUGUCUCAUUGUGAUCCCUACUCCAAAAUACAUGGGUGUCGUGAGUGCCAGUCUCACAGAAAAAGCAGAGUUCAUCCGCACGACGCUCCAGCUCGACCAUGAACACAGCCAAGUCCCGAUUCCAGUCCCUCUCCUGUUUGGUGGCCAGGGCUCUUGUGUCCACUACUCUGACCACCCUCUCGAGAGACCACACAUUCUUUCAUUUCAUGUCUCCGCUGAAACUUACUCUCUGAACCUUUUUCUUCUUGAAGUUCUUCCUUUGGCCAUUGAGAUGUGGGUCGGGAACGAGUCUCAGGAGAAUCUGAGUCCUGUUUCCUCCUGAGGAGGCAUUCCUGGGUGAGAGGGCGCCCUGCCACACCCUCUGGUGGGUAACCAGGAAAAGGGGGCGCCUGACCCCAGCUGAGCCCCCCAGGGUGAGCUGAAAGGACGUGGGCUAAGAAGUCUCCCUCUUUUCUUAUUUAUUGCUUACACGCCCUUCUCUCUUGUUCUGUUUCUCUAAAGAAUCGAUGAUUUUAAUUCCAGUUUUCUUUCAGAAAAAAAUAAAGCAGGUUCUCUGAUGCUUAAAAUUACCAAUAAAAUAAUGAAAGCGA